UACGGAGGGUGCAAGCGUUAUCCGGAUUUACUGGGUUUAAAGGGUGCGUAGGUGGGCCUGUAAGUCAGUGGUGAAAUCUCCGGGCUUAACCCGGAAACUGCCAUUGAUACUAUAGGUCUUGAAUUAUCUGGAGGUGAGCGGAAUAUGUCAUGUAGCGGUGAAAUGCUUAGAUAUGACAUAGAACACCAAUUGCGAAGGCAGCUCACUACGGAUAUAUUGACACUGAGGCACGAAAGCGUGGGGAGCAAACAGG
rnacentral:rRNA from 1 species